rnacentral:rRNA from 1 species
GCCUAUGACCAUACCACUCUGAGAAUGCCCAAUCUUGUCUGAUCUCGGAAGCUAGGCAGGGUCAGGCCUGGUUAGUACUUGGGUGGGAGACCGUGUGGGAAUACUGGGUGCUGUAGGCU